AAUUUAAUCUAAUCUAAUUGGUGGUGAAGUGGGUCCUUUCACUUUGGUGCAUUAGAAUUCCUUGAAAGAAAGGAAAAGUUACAAAAGACAAGGAAAAAUAUUCAAAGAAUAUCAUAACAAACACCAAAAG